AUUGAACGCUGGCGGCAGGCCUAACACAUGCAAGUCGAGCGGAUGAAGGGAGCUUGCUCCGGGAUUCAGCGGCGGACGGGGGAGUAAUGCCUAGGAAUCUGCCUGGUAGUGGGGGAUAACGUCCGGAAACGGGCGCUAAUACCGCAUACGUCCUGAGGGAGAAAGUGGGGGAUCUUCGGACCUCACGCUAUCAGAUGAGCCUAGGUCGGAUUAGCUAGUUGGUGGGGUAAAGGCCUACCAAGGCGACGAUCCGUAACUGGUCUGAGAGGAUGAUCAGUCACACUGGAACUGAGACACGGUCCAGACUCCUACGGGAGGCAGCAGUGGGGAAUAUUGGACAAUGGGCGAAAGCCUGAUCCAGCCAUGCCGCGUGUGUGAAGAAGGUCUUCGGAUUGUAAAGCACUUUAAGUUGGGAGGAAGGGCAGUAAGUUAAUACCUUGCUGUUUUGACGUUACCAACAGAAUAAGCACCGGCUAACUUCGUG
rnacentral:rRNA from 1 species